rnacentral:tRNA from 1 species
GAGAAAGUACCGCAAGAACUGCUAAUUCCCGCCUCCAUGCCUAAUAGCAUGGCUUUCUUA